rnacentral:lncRNA from 10 species
UGUUUCUUCUGGUAAAUCAAAAGUAGUUUUUAUGUUAUAUUUAGGGGCAGAUUUAAUCUACUAGCAUAAAACAUUAUGGUAAACUCUCCCCACCCCCAACAAAGGCAUUCCAUUCCACAUGUGAGCAACUGCUUGCAGAGAGCAUGCACCAUGUGAAAAAGUAAUUAUUGCCUUGCCUAAGGAAUGAAGCUCACUCUAUCAGCAUGUCCAGGCUUUUGCAGAUAUGAGUCCCCAGCGCGGAGCCCACAUCAGGACCAUCUGCAGUGUCUAAAUAAGUGCGCCUUGAGGUCCAGCCCCAGAGGUUCUCACUCAGAUCUGGACGGAGGGCCAGGUGUGGGAGAAGCCAGGUUUACAAGCUCG